UACCCCAAACCGACACAGGUGGUCAGGUAGAGAAUACUCAGGCGCUUGAGAGAACUCGGGUGAAGGAACUAGGCAAAAUGGUGCCGUAACUUCGGGAGAAGGCACGCUGGCGGUAGGUAAAGUCCCUUGCGGACGGCGCUGAAGCCAGUCGAAGAUACCAGCUGGCUGCAACUGUUUAUUAAAAACACAGCACUGUGCAAACACGAAAGUGGACGUAUACGGUGUGACGCCUGCCCGGUGCUGGAAGGUUAAUUG
rnacentral:rRNA from 1 species